rnacentral:rRNA from 1 species
GUGCACGCUGGCGGUAGGCCCAACACAUGCCAGUCGAACGGCAGCACAGUAAGAGCUUGCUCUUACGGGUGGCGAGUGGCGGACGGGUGAGGAAUACAUCGGAAUCUACUUUUUCGUGGGGGAUAACGUAGGGAAACUUACGCUAAUACCGCAUACGACCUACGGGUGAAAGCAGGGGAUCUUCGGACCUUGCGCGAUUGAAUGAGCCGAUGUCGGAUUAGCUAGUUGGCGGGGUAAAGGCCCACCAAGGCGACGAUCCGUAGCUGGUCUGAGAGGAUGAUCAGCCACACUGGAACUGAGACACGGUCCAGACCCCUACGGGAGGCAGCAGUGGGGAAUAUUGGACAAUGGGCGCAAGCCUGAUCCAGCCAUACCGCGUGGGUGAAGAAGGCCUUCGGGUUGUAAAGCCCUUUUGUUGGGAAAGAAAAGCAGCAGGUUAAUACCCCGCUGUUCUGACGGUACCCAAAGAAUAAGCACCGGCUAACUUCGUG